UAACAAUAGCAUACACGUGUUUUCAUCUCCGAUGUGGAGAGCUCUCUGCGUUUCAGGCCCGCACACAUCCAAGGUGGACGUUCUCCUCCAGCGUGGCUUCUCCUCAGGAAGGGUGCAUGUGCUCCUCUCUGCUUUCGCCGUCAACUAUCUUUUCUCGCGAUUCCUUCACGCAAGCUCCCUUUUUCACGGAUUUGGUUGAUCAGGUUAGGGAUUUUCCCAUAGAGUCUCAAAUUGAAGAUCUGCAAUCAAUCAAUCAGGUAUGGGAUUUCUACCUAAUCUACUUCCUCAGUGGUGAUGUGAUUGCCAGAGUUUUCUAGUAAACUGUUGCAUAGACAUAAAGCUGUUUGCCCUGCGUUUAAUAGCUUCAUUGAGAAAAGAAUGGGCUUUGUGACACUAAGAUGGCAUCAUGGUACUGUUUGUCUAACUAGCAAAUCCCCUCCUUCAAAGAGAAAUCCAUGGAGCAGGUUAUCUUCCCUUGAAAAUGUCUUCUGCACACCUAAUCAUGUUCUACCAUAUAUUCUUCAUUGAAAAUGUGGGAGUCCUUAUCAAGAUUUUCAUCGUGCGAUUAGUUCUCCCUAUGCCAUUGAAUGGAGAUGCAUAUGGACUGGGGUUUUCUUUUCCCUCCAUUUCCAUGUUCAAUUUAAAUUAAAAAAGAUGAGUCUUAUGCCCUGAAUUUUUUCUAUAAAAGGAUGGUUGGUGAACCACAUUCAAUGCACAGGCAUUCUGUUGUCUUUUAUUUUCUCCUAGGCUGUGUUUAUUCCACAUAUUCUGUGUUUAUAUCUUCAUCUAUUUGAUAUGAUUUCUAAGAUGCAUCCUCCUAGAGAGGCUUGGAGGCUGAAAGUUAGGGUUCUAAGGCUUUGGGUUGUGCCCUCUUUUGGUAACUAUGAGGUUCCUAACUCAAUAGAGAUGAUUCUCCUGAUGAGCAUGUUAGUCCCUAUUAGCUACUGUUUUAAAUAUGGUGUUAGUUGUUCUUUUUAAGUUUUCAACUUAAAAUUAUGUUUUUCACUAAUCUGAUUUUGUUUUUUUGUUGCAUUUUCAGUGUGAAAAAAUUCAAGCUACAGUUAAGAAAUAACUUCUUAAUAGGUUUAGGGAUCAUAUAGUUGAAGGUCAAGUUUAUAGAAUGGCAUACUUUACUAUUGUGUCAAAUUAUGGUAGUUAUAGAGCAACUUCUCAUGAAUUCAAAUUGGUUUUCCUUCAUCGGACCACUGUUGUAGCUGUUGAUGAAGAUGUUAUCCCAAAGACUUGUUUCAACAUGUUUCCUUUUUCUGACCUGCUAAACAUGACCCAAGAUUAUGAUUUUUUGGUUGGUAUGUAUAUCAUUGUGCUAUUCUUUUAUUCAAGUUUUU